CCAGACUCCUACGGGAGGCAGCAGUGGGGAAUAUUGCACAAUGGGCGAAAGCCUGAUGCAGCAACGCCGCGUGAAGGAAGACGGUUUUCGGAUUGUAAACUUCUAUCGAUAGGGAAGAAAGGAAUGACGGUACCUAAAUAAGAAGCCCCGGCUAACUACGUGCCAGCAGCCGCGGUAAUACGUAGGGGGCAAGCGUUAUCCGGAAUUACUGGGUGUAAAGGGAGAGUAGGCGGCAAGGUAAGCGAUAUGUGAAAGCCGUAGGCUUAACCUGAGGAUAGCAUAACGAACUAUCUAGCUAGAGUACAGGAGAGGAAAGCGGAAUUCUUAGUGUAGCGGUGAAAUGCGUAGAUAUUAGGAAGAACACCAGUGGCGAAGGCGGCUUUCUGGACUGUAACUGACGUUGAGGCUCGAAGGCGUGGGGAGCAAACAGGAUUAGAUACCCUCGUA
rnacentral:rRNA from 1 species